rnacentral:rRNA from 1 species
AACGAACGCUGGCGGCGUGGUUAAGGCAUGCAAGUCGAACGAGAAAGCAGGCUUCGGCCUGCAAGUAGAGUGGCGUAAGGGUGAGGAAUACUUGGACAACCUACCCUUGAGUGGGGAAUAACACCUCGAAAGGGGUGCUAAUGCCGCGACGAUCCGGUUGGGGCAUCCCGGCCGGAUGAAAGGAGGGGUCCUUCGGGACCUUUUCGCUCGAGGAGGGGUCCAAGUCUUAUCAGCUUGUUGGUAGGGUAACGGCCUACCAAGGCUACGACGGGUACGGGGCCUGAGAGGGUGUUCCCGCACACUGGGACUGAGACACUGCCCAGACUCCUACGGGAGGCUGCAGUCGAGAGUCUUCGGCAAUGGACGAAAGUCUGACCGAGCGACGCCGCGUGGAGGAAGAAGGCCCUCGGGUUGUAAACUCCUGUCAGGGGGCAAGAAUAAGCGCGCCAACUACGCGUGAUGACUACCCCCAAAGGAAGCCACGGCUAACUCCGUGCCAGCAGCCGCGGUAAGACGGAGGUGGCAAGUGUUGUUCGGAAUUACUGGGCAUAAAGGGCACGUAGGUGGCUCGACAGGUCAAGGGUGAAAUCCCCCGGCUUAACCGGGGAAUUGCGUUUGAAACCAUCGGGCUAGAGUGGAAGAGGGGAGAGUGGAACUCGCAGUGGAGCGGUGAAAUGCCUAGAUAUUGCGAGGAACGCCGGCGGCGAAAGCGACUCUCUGGUUUCCAACUGACACUGAGGUGCGAAAGCUAGGGGAGCGAACGGGAUUAGAUACCCCGGUAGUCCUAGCCGUAAACGAUGAGCACUAGGUAGAAGAGGUACCCAAUCCUUUUCUGCCGGAGGAAAUCUGUUAAGUGCUCCGCCUGGGGAGACGACCGCAAGGUU